CAGCCGCGGUAAUUCCAGCUCCAAUAGCGUAUAUUAAAGUUGCUGCAGUUAAAAAGACUCGUAGUUGAAUUUCGGGUACCGAAUAUGUCGGUCGUGCCUCGGUACAUACUGGCAUCGUUGGUUUCUCCCUUCUGAAGAACCAUGAUGUCAUUCAUUUGGUGUCGUGGGGGAAGUCAGGACUGUUACUUUGAAAAAAUUAAGAGUGUUUAAAGUCAGGCUCACGCUUGAAUACAUUAGCAUGGAAUAAUGAAAUAGGACGUUGAUUCUAUUUUGUUGGUUUCUAGGAUCGACGUAAUGAUUAAAUAGGGAUAGUUGGGGCGAUUAGUAUUCAAUUGUCAGAGGUGAAAUUCUUGGAUUUAUUGAAGAACUACUACUGCGAAAGCAUUUGCCAAGGAUGUUUUCAUUAAUCAAGAACGAAAAGUUAAGGGGAGUCGAAGACGAUCAGAUACCGUCGUAGUCUUAACCCCAUAAACUAUGCCGACUAGGGGAUCGGAUGAUGUUAAUUUUUAUAAUGACUCAUUCGGCGCCUUACGGGAAAC
rnacentral:rRNA from 1 species